ACAUUGCUCCAGCCAACCCAGCCUUCAGCAACCACCACCCUGAAGUCAGCAGCCAUCGAGGUGAGACCCUCCACCAGAAAAAAGAUAAUGACUCACUGAAGGCUCAGAUAAUUGUUAGAGGUUUUUGAGCAAAAAAAGUAUUUUUAAAUUAAGUAAAAUGGAUUAAAGUGAGUCAGCAAAAGGGAGAAAGAAGGAGGGGAAGUUAAGGACUUCUUCAAAAUCUACCUCAUCAUUUUGGAGCUCUUAGUCCUCAAUUCCAUCAAACACAGUGGUGGGAAGGACAUCUUCCAAAUGGCAGCUCAUUUUACCUUAAUAGUUGGUGUUUCCAGAGAAUUUCUAUUCUGAUUAUCUGACUGAACCUGUGAAUGAAUAAUUAGUGCACUAAACUCCUAGUAAAAGUACCAAGAUCAAGGAGGAAAAAAAAAGUAGGAAGAGAGAAUUGUCUCUGCCUACGGGGGUUGGAGAAAGGAACACAUUUGAAAGGAACCUGAAGG